CUGCACACAGGACUGUCAAAGAACCAGCAGCUAUUCGACACGAGGUAUGACUGGUUAAGGCGCUAUAAGACAAUUUAUGGACUGACACUGGAAAUGGCAUACAGUGCAACGCAAUAUGUGAUCAAUAAAGAUUCUGAUACAGUACAGUGUGUGAUCAAUAAAGAUUCUGAUACAGUACAGUGCAGUGAUCAAUAAAGAUUCUGAUACAGUACAGUGCCUGAUCAAUAAAGAUUCUGAAACAGUGCAGUGAUCAAUAAAGAUUGUGAUUCAGUACAGUGUGUGAUCAAUAAAGAUUCUGAAAACAUGUCACUCAUUAGGAUAUAAAGACAAAUCCUUGGUGACCCAAAGUAUUGGAAAGGGAUAUAAAUGUCAUGAAC